rnacentral:tRNA from 1 species
AGGGACUUAGGUUAAACGUGACAAGACCAAGAGCCUUCAAAGCCCUAAGCGAGAGUUAAAACCUCCCAGACCCUG